rnacentral:rRNA from 1 species
GCGGAGAUGGCACCAGAGUACCGCGGGACACGAGAAAUCCCGUGGGAAGCAGGGGGGACCACCCUCCAAGGCAAAACACAGAUAUCGACCGAUAGCGCAUAGCGCAUAGUACCAUGAGGGAAAGGUGAAAAGCACCCCGGGAGGGGAAUGAAAGAGAACCUGAAACCGUAUGUUUACAAGCAGUCGGAGACCGCUUAAUAAUAAGGUCGACGGCGUGCCUAUUGAAGAAUGAACCGGCGAGUUACUGAAACCGUAUGUUUACAAGCAGUCGGAGACCGCUUAAUAAUAAGGUCGACGGCGUGCCUAUUGAAGAAUGAACCGGCGAGUUACGAAGCCUGGCAAGGUUAAGCAGGAAAUGCGGAGCCGAAGCGAAAGCGAGUCUUAAGAGGGCGCAAGUCAGGAAGCGUAGACCCGAAACCACAGUCUUAAGAGGGCGCAAGUCAGGAAGCGUAGACCCGAAACCACAGUGAUCUACCCAUGUCCAGGUUGAAACACAGGUAAAAAUGUGUGGAGGACCGAACCUAUAUCCGUUGAAAAGGGUUAGGAUGAGGUGUGGGUAGGGGUGAAAUUCCAAUCGAACGUGGAGAUAGCUGGUUCUCCCCCGAAAAGUGGGUAGGGGUGAAAUUCCAAUCGAACGUGGAGAUAGCUGGUUCUCCCCCGAAAAUAGCUUUAGGGGCUAGCCUCAG